rnacentral:lncRNA from 1 species
UCAGAAGCCUCACCGAAGUAGUGCAGGCCAUGCAGUAGUAGCAGUAGUAGCAACAGCCACAGGUAUCAGUGCGGCUGGAAAGAGCAUCGUCGGAGUUCCAAAAUCUGGCAAUAGGGCGGGCCACUUGGGCUAGUCGCCCUGUCUUCCCCAGAAAGGAGAAGCCGAGGGUGGAGAGCCCUCAGUCUGAUCAUGAUUCCACCCCUGGAGGAUCUCUUCCUCCAUUCUACUAGAAGACCCUCAAGACUCACAGUCGAGAGGACCUCCUGGAUCAAAGGCUCCAGGAGAUGAACCGGUGGAUCGAAGAGCUCCGCCACGCUCUCCCUGC